rnacentral:sRNA from 12 species
CACCGCCUGCCGCGUGAUCGUCAUGGCGACCACGCCCGUGCGGUUAUUGAAUCUGGUCGCGCCGCUGGCCACCCCGGCCACCGCCAUGCACACCACGGAUACCCCCGGCCCCGGCCGGCAUCGGUCCAGUGCAGUUUCCCGGCCGAGCAAUCGACCGGGCGACGUAGAUAGCGCGACUCAACG